GAUAAACGCUGGCGGCGUGCAUAACACAUGCAAGUCAAACGGGCGAGAAAGAGGUGCUUGCACCACUUUUGAGCAAGUGGCGGACGGGUGAGUAACGCGUGGAGAACCAACCUGGUGGAGGGGGACAACUUAGAGAAAUCUGAGCUAAUACCGCAUAAGCCUGUAUUGAGGCAUCUUGGUACAGGGAAAGGAGCAAUCCGCCACGAGACGGUUCCGCGUCUGAUUAGCUAGUUGGUAGGGUAAAGGCCUACCAAGGCGACGAUCAGUAGCCGAUCUGAGAGGAUGGACGGCCACAUUGGGACUGAGACACGGCCCAAACUCCUACGGGAGGCAGCAGUGGGGAAUAUUGCACAAUGGGGGAAACCCUGAUGCAGCGACGCCGCGUGAGGGAAGAAGGUUUUCGGAUUGUAAACCUCUGUCCUUGGUGAAGAUAAUGACGGUAGCCAAGGAGGAAGCCACGGCUAACUACGUGCCAGCCGCCGCUGUAAUAC
rnacentral:rRNA from 1 species